UCGAGUAUCCAGACAGGUGCUGACUAACGUCUCAUGACGCUCACGGAGAAAUUUUGCGAAUGGUACAACGUCAUCGUUAGCGUCAGCGUCAGCCUCAGUGUCAACGUCCAGCGUCAUCGUCAGCGUCGUAUUGUGAACUAGUAUAGGCCUAACGCGUCUUUGGAGUUGGAAGUUGAUAUCAAUAGUCGUGAUGCGGAUGGGGUAUGUGUUGUGAGUUCUAGUGUGUGUAUUGGAUGUUGAAAUGAACUGCACGUCGUUUGAUCUCAAAAUAGGACACUCUUCUGAUACAAGCGUGUGAGAAGAAGAACAAGGAGAUGGUUGAGUUGCUGCUCACUAAAUCAGCAGAUGUUAAGAUGUGACUGGCAUUUGUGGAUGGACAGCUUUGAUUGUAUCUGCAAUGUUUGGAUCAGAAGACAUCACUGAUCUAUUACUGAAUGUCAAAGAUAUUAAUGUGAUGAAGAAAGAACAUUUUUUGGGAAUGACAGCCAUCCAUUGGGCUGCAGCGAAUAAUCACGUGACCAUUGUAGAGAGACUUUUGUCUUGUUCUGUUCCUGUUGAUAUCAAUGAUAAUGGUGGUUGUACACCACUGUGGUUUGCUGCCAGUAACGGUGAUGUGUGUUGUGUUGAUGUUCUCCUAAAACAUGGAGCGAGUCCCCAACAUGAGAGUACGAGUUGGGGAUCACCACUGGAGAUUGCCAAGGAAAAGCGUCACAGUGAUGUGGUUGAGAUGAUGGAAGAAGCCAUAAGAUUCUGUCUCAUCCUUAUGUGGAGGGUCGCAUGUUUGUCAUGAAACAUCAAUAUGAAGAGACAAUUGCUGAACUGCAGAGUGAAGUGGAGAAGAUGAAAGAAGACUUAAGAAGAAUAUCUUUGUCACUAAAAGGAAUUCGCUUUCGUAGUUGUGGUAAGGGGCGUUAUCAAGCACAAUAACGGAGCCUGGCUGUACAUUGACUGACAGCUUCUGGAACCACUCCAAGAAAUGCUCUGAGUUCGUUUCGUCGUGGUAGCUAGUCUGUGCUGUUCUUCUUUGAUCUGAAAACCAAGUCUGCAUUGGGAGUCCACCCCGUUUCACUUCCUGCGUGAAGUAUGAUGAGUCGUCGACCCUUUCCUGAAGGUCUUUUCCACCCACCGCGUCCCUGUUCAUCUAGCCAGAGUCUCUCCGGAGCCAUGUGUGAGUUUGCCCAGGUUUCGUCCAAGUACACUAUGGGACGGUCUUCUCUUCUAUACUGCAUAAUGUUUUUGAGGGUAUGUCUGAAUCCCAUUUCCUUCAGUAAGUGAAAGAGAGUUGUCCGCCCGCCAGGAAAUACGCCUUUUUCGCGGACACGCACAAGGAGUUUUGUCCAAGGUUGGAUAGUCUCUAUUUUCAUACAUUUCAUGUACUGUUCUCCGUAUCGCUGCUGGAUCAAAAUCAUCAACGUUGAUGGUCAGUCGGCGUUCUCGUUUAACUAGCGUUUCUUCUGCGGUGUUUGAAACUGUUGACUUGACAAUAAUUCUGUGUGGAUCUUUGCCGACGUCGUUUUGCCUAGCUAUGGGCCAGUGGCAGCUACCAGUCGGUCGGUGACCCUGUUGAGACUGAUGCGAUGUUUGGCUCGUCGUUCUUCUUCGAAGAGUUGUCUGAUACGUUCAACAAGACGCUUUUCCGCUGAAACAACUCGCUCGCUUUUUCUCCUUGCCAUGAAACCUCUGCUAAUCGUAACUAAUAGGUUAAUUAUACAGCAGAGUUCUCGAGCUUCGCGCGCACUCUGGUCUGGAAGUUCGAGGCUAACAGACGGUAGGCAUGAAGGCGCUCCAUCCAAGCGGCAAAGGCCAGACAAAAACAUGCCCGGUUGGGCAAUAACUAGUGAUCAUGAAUUUUAGCUCUCUAUAGACAUAUAUCGCUGCAUAUGCAUGUGCAUGGGUCUAGAGGCCUGUCCACACUGGCAACCGGAUCGCGAUCCAACCGCAACGCUGUCCACACUUGCAACUCGAUCGCGAUCGGUUGAAUCCAAUUAUGAAUAGUGGGCGUUAUCUUCACGUACGCUACGCGUGUAGUCGGAACAUCUAGCACUCCUUACUCGUCUUUGUUCUCGCUCACCUUACGUCGCUGUAUCAAUGCUUUCCACAAGCAAAGAAGCCACACGUACACAUCGGUCAUCAGUCACGUGAUAUCGAAAUGAUCAUGAGGCGGAGGUAGCGUUUUCAAAGUGCAGUGUGGACGCUCGCUAUCCCGAUCGGAUCGCGAUCCAUUCUGGUCUAGUGUGGACAGGCCUAAAAAUGACAUUAUAUUUGGAAUAAAAACUGUUAGUUAAUCCAA